UACGAAGGGUGCUAGCGUUGUUCGGAAUUAUUGGGCGUAAAGCGUGCGUAGGCGGUUUGGUAAGUCGACUGUGAAAGCCCAGAGCUUAACUUUGGAAUUGCAUUCGAAACUACUAGCUAGAGUAUGGCGGGGGAUAGUGGAAUUCUUAGUGUAGGGGUGAAAUCCGUAGAUAUUAAGAGGAACACCAGUGGCGAAAGCGGCUAUCUACACCAUUACUGACGCUGAGGCACGAAAGCGUGGGGAGCAAACAGG
rnacentral:rRNA from 1 species